rnacentral:lncRNA from 1 species
AGUGGAUAAUGAGCGAUGUUUAACCAAAAUGACUCAUUAGGUAUAAUCUAGUUCUCGCUUAGAAUGUUGACGACUGAUGACCGUCAUUUUCACUGCCUCAUCUUCGAAGGCAGUAAGUGUCCCCUGUAGAAUGCCUGCAGUUGUCUUGUUGCGUAAAUUAUUGUAGGAGGGUAAAUUGUUGCAGGAGGAUUAAGGCUGCAAAUAGAUC